UAUAAACCCUAACCAUUAAACCCUUCAUUGCAUUCAUUUGCUUCACCCUAUGCCCUCUUUAGAGGCAGAGGUACAACAUAUCAACUUGAUAUAGUAGUGAAACUAUAUGUAUGUUCAGAUUGUUACCAACCUACAAAUGUAGGCAUUUUCCACAAUAUUUUCUCUUUCUUGGAACCCAUCACCAAUCAUAUUCCAGCACAGCAAAUUGUGCGCAAAUUUUAUCCAAUGGCACA